rnacentral:rRNA from 1 species
GACAGAGGUGCCGAGCGUUAGGCGGAAUCACUGGGCUUAAAGCGUGUGUAGGCGGGUCGUUAAGUACCUUGUGAAAUCCCCCCGGCUCAACCGGGGAACGGCUGGGUAUACUGGCGAUCUUGAGCCACCUAGGGGCAGUCGGAACAAGUGGUGGAGCGGUGAAAUGCGUUGAUAUCAGAAGGAACGCCGGUGGCGAAAGCGGCGGACUGGAUCUUUUCUGACGCUGAGGCGCGAAAGCUAGGGGAGCAAACGGG